AGGAAAGGAUCAACCUCCUGAUCUAGCGUCUCUUGUUCCAUCUGAUGCAAUUUCCAUACCAGGUCAACCUGACAAAGCAGCUCCUUCGCUAGUUUCUGACAUGAGUCAUGCCCCUGUCAAUAACAAGUCAACUGGAGUUUCAGCUAAAGCAGUUAAGCCGUCAACUGAUGUGCGGAAGGAGAAACUAUCAAAUGGAGUUAGCUUAUCAACCUCGUUUGCUGAUCCUGAAAAAUAUGUAGAAGACUUUAUAGAGAGAACAUCAUCUCUUGUUCUUUCAGAGAUAACGGAGGAGAAUGUGAAGCAAUAUGGUGAGAAACUUGGUGAAAACAUAUCAAAUACAAUUAGGAAAAGACUUGCAAUGGAGCUAAAGAGCACAGCUACAAUGUUCAAGAACACUGCGUAUUCUGAAGGUUUUUCUGCUGGUACUCGCCAACAAGCAAAGCGUCUUUAAAAUAUGUUAUUUGUCUUCCAUUUUCUUGUAUCCAAUUAAAACUUGAUGCCAUGAUCUUAUUCAAGUUAUGACCACAAUGCUAAGAGCAAUUUGCUCCUUAUACUUUUGAGCAAAAUUGAAACAUGUUUCAUCGG
rnacentral:misc_RNA from 1 species